CACGUAGGGUGCAAGCGUUGUCCGGAAUUAUUGGGCGUAAAGGGCUCGUAGGCGGUCCGUCACGUCGGGAGUGAAAACUCGGAGCUUAACUCCGAGCCUGCUUCCGAUACGGGCAGACUAGAGGUAGGCAGGGGAGAGCGGAACUCCUGGUGUAGCGGUGGAAUGCGCAGAUAUCAGGAAGAACACCGGUGGCGAAGGCGGCUCUCUGGGCCUUACCUGACGCUGAGGAGCGAAAGCCAGGGGAGCGAACGGG
rnacentral:rRNA from 1 species